CAGUCGCCGCGGGAACACCAGCACCUCGAGUGGUCAGGAGGUUUAUUGGGCCUAAAGCAUCCGUAGCCGGUUGCAUAAGUUUUCGGUUAAAUCUAUGCGCUUAACGUAUAGGCCGCCGAAAAUACUGUGCAGCUAGGGAGUGGGAGAGGUACACGGUACUCGAUAGGAAGGGGUAAAAUCCUUUGAUCUAUUGAUGACCACCUGUGGCGAAGGCGGUGUACCAGAACACGUUCGACGGUGAGGGAUGAAAGCUGGGGGAGCAAACCGGAUUAGAUACCCCGGUAGUCCCUGUCUCUUAUCC
rnacentral:rRNA from 1 species